rnacentral:rRNA from 1 species
CAGUCGCCACGGGAAUACGUAGGUGGCAAGCGUUAUCCGGAAUUAUUGGGCGUAAAGUGUCUAUAGGUGGCUUUUCAAGUCCGCCGUCAAAUCCCAGGGCUCAACCGUGGACAGGCGGUGGAAACUACCAAGCUGGAGUACGGUAGGGGCAGAGGGAAUUUCCGAUGGAGCGGUGAAAUGCGUUGAGAUCGGAAAGAACACCAACGGAGAAAGCACUCUGCUGGGCCGACACUGACACUGAGAGACGAAAUCUAGGGGAGCAAAUGGGAUUAGAUACCCCCGUAGUCCCUGUCUCUUAUAC